UAACAAGGUCUCCGUUGGUGAACCAGCGGAGGGAUCAUA
rnacentral:rRNA from 1 species